rnacentral:rRNA from 1 species
UACGUAGGAGGCAAGCGUUGUCCGGAAUCACUGGGCGUAAAGCGCGUGUAGGUGGAGCAGGAAGUCUGCUGUGAAAGCGCCUGGCUUAACCGGGCGAGGUCGGUGGAAACUCCUGGUCUAGAGGCCGGUAGAGGGGGGGUGGAAUUCCGGGUGUAGUGGUGAAAUGCGUAGAGAUCCGGAGGAACACCCGUGGCGAAGGCGGCCCCCCUGGGCC